rnacentral:rRNA from 1 species
AGAGUUUGAUCCUGGCUCAGGACGAACGCUGGCGGCGUGCCUAACACAUGCAAGUCGAGCGGAGACAGUGAGUAGCUUGCUAUGAGCUGUUUUAGCGGCGGACGGGUGAGUAACGCGUGAGCAACCUUUCCCAGACAGGGGAAUAACACACCGAAAGGUGUACUAAUACCGCAUAAGACCACGGGAUCACAUGGUUCUGAGGUAAAAGAUUUAUCGGUUUGGGGUGGGCUCGCGUCCGAUUAGGUAGUUGGUGAGGUAACGGCCCACCAAGCCGACGAUCGGUAGCCGACCUGAGAGGGUGAUCGGCCACAUUGGGACUGAGACACGGCCCAAACUCCUACGGGAGGCAGCAGUGGGGAAUAUUGGGCAAUGGAGGAAACUCUGACCCAGCAACGCCGCGUGGAGGAAGAAGGUUUUCGGAUCGUAAACUCCUGUCCUUGGAGACGAGUAGAAGACGGUAUCCAAGGAGGAAGCCCCGGCUAACUACGUGCCAGCAGCCGCGGUAAUACGUAGGGGGCAAGCGUUGUCCGGAAUAAUUGGGCGUAAAGGGCGCGUAGGCGGCUCGGUAAGUCUGGAGUGAAAGUCCUGCUUUUAAGGUGGGAAUUGCUUUGGAUACUGUCGGGCUUGAGUGCAGGAGAGGUUAGUGGAAUUCCCAGUGUAGCGGUGAAAUGCGUAGAGAUUGGGAGGAACACCAGUGGCGAAGGCGACUAACUGGACUGUAACUGACGCUGAGGCGCGAAAGUGUGGGGAGCAAACAGGAUUAGAUACCCUGGUAGUCCACACUGUAAACGAUGAAUGCUAGGUGUAGGGGGUAUCGACCCCUUCUGUGCCGCAGUCAACACAAUAAGCAUUCCGCCUGGGGAGUACGGCCGCAAGGUUGAAACUCAAAGGAAUUGACGGGGGCCCGCACAAGCAGCGGAGCAUGUGGUUUAAUUCGACGCAACGCGAAGAACCUUACCAGGUCUUGACAUCCACUUAAACUUACAGAGAUGUAAGGUGUGCUUGCACAAAGUGAGACAGGUGGUGCAUGGUUGUCGUCAGCUCGUGUCGUGAGAUGUUGGGUUAAGUCCCGCAACGAGCGCAACCCUUGCUAUUAGUUGCUACGCAAGAGCACUCUAAUAGGACUGCCGUUGACAAAACGGAGGAAGGUGGGGACGACGUCAAAUCAUCAUGCCCCUUAUGACCUGGGCUACACACGUACUACAAUGGAUGUUAACAGAGGGAAGCAAGACAGCGAUGUGGAGCAAACCCCUAAAAACAUUCUCAGUUCAGAUUGCAGGCUGCAACCCGCCUGCAUGAAGAUGGAAUUGCUAGUAAUCGCGGAUCAGCAUGCCGCGGUGAAUACGUUCCCGGGCCUUGUACACACCGCCCGUCACACCAUGGGAGUUGGGAGUGCCCAAAGCCGGUGAGGCAACCGCAAGGAGCCAGCCGUCUAAGGCAAGACCAAUGACUGGGGUGAAGUCGUAACAAGGUAGCCGUAUCGGAAGGUGCGGCUG